UAGGGUCCUCGUUCUAAGGCCAGUGGGAAUCCAUCUGAAUUAACACUUUUGUUGCCAUACAGCUCAGGCUGUAACCAGGAAAGUAAAAUUAAUUUCACUUUUCAGCUCAGGCUGAAAGCCAGGAAAGUAAAAUUAAUUUCACUUUUUAGAGUGAAAAGGAUAUUUAAAAUAAGUGGGGCGUUUUAAUACUCGUAAGGUUUUCACCAUCUUUUUCCACUACGUUGGAGUCGCAGGAUAGAGCAACUGGUGAAGAUUAAACCGAAACGCAGACAAAGGCGCCAUCUUCCCUCCCUCCAGCCAGCGCGGCGCAGCCGACGGCCCUGUCGCCAACGCACCCAAUGGGAAGGUUCCAAGACUUCGCGGGUUUGUUUCGGUAUUACCGGAUGUGCUUUUUCUGGGUCUGUACUAGCCCAGGAUUGUUGUCUACAGAAACCUGACUGACCCAAAAAGGCAAACACCCGACAGGAUGUCAGGUUUCGCGCCGGCAACCCCCUCAGUACACGCGUACUUAGGAAAAACCUCUCGCAGCGGCCGCGGCGAAGCUCCCGCCCCAGGGCAAGCUGCAGCAGGAAGUUUCACUCACUGCGGACGUCGCCGGGUCGUCCCGGAGCCAACGGCGCCUCCCGCCGGGAGCAGGGCGGUCUCCCCUCCGCGCGCGGAACCCUCCGUCCACGGCCACCGUGGACCCGCGCCCUCUCCCCACCCGCCCACCUGGACACUCCCCGGAAUAACCAGGACGUUGGGUCUUUCUGGCUUCUUCAUGCUGAAAAAGAGACAUCAACAUUAUGGUGUGGAAGAAUGAAGCUGGUGGUCAUUUUGACCUCUGGGUUCCACAGUUUAUCUAGCAUAGGAAUAAUUCAGAGACUUUCUGAAAAAUAAACUUAAGAUGUAAAUUGAGAAUUAUAGGUUUAAAUAACCAUGUUACAUGGGGGAAAUAAUUUUAGAUAGAACCCAGAGUAUUCCUCAGGCUNNNNNNNNNNNNNNNNNNNNNNNNNNNNNNNNNNNNNNNNNNNNNNNNNNCUCUGGAAGUCAAGUCCCACAUUGCCAGAGAGAAUUGUCCCUGGAAGUUCUGUCCCAUGUGGGGGUGGGGGGAAAGUAAUGCCUUAGAAAGGCAGGCCACAUUUGAGUAACAAAGAGGCUCUCUAACGGUAACCCAUAGGCAUUAAUUAUAGUUAUGUUAACUUCAUCAUUGCAGAAAUAAGUUUCAGGAGUGCUCAACUUAGUCACAUGUUUCUUUUUCACAGGUUUUAUUUGUAGCAUUCUUACAAUUCCAAUAAAUUGGUGUU
rnacentral:lncRNA from 1 species